GACGAACGCUGGCGGCGUGCUUAACACAUGCAAGUCGAACGGAAAGGCCCUGCUUUUGUGGGGUGCUCGAGUGGCGAACGGGUGAGUAACACGUGAGUAACCUGCCCUUGACUUUGGGAUGACUUCAGGAAACUGGGGCUAAUACCGGAUAGGAGCUCCUGCUGCAUGGUGGGGGUUGGAAAGUUUCGGCGGUUGGGGAUGGACUCGCGGCUUAUCAGCUUGUUGGUGGGGUAGUGGCUUACCAAGGCUUUGACGGGUAGCCGGCCUGAGAGGGUGACCGGCCACAUUGGGACUGAGAUACGGCCCAGACUCCUACGGGAGGCAGCAGUGGGGAAUAUUGCACAAUGGGCGGAAGCCUGAUGCAGCAACGCCGCGUGCGGGAUGACGGCCUUCGGGUUGUAAACCGCUUUCGCCUGUGACGAAGCGUGAGUGACGGUAAUGGGUAAAGAAGCACCGGCUAACUACGUGCCAGCAGCCGCGGUGAUACGUAGGGUGCGAGCGUUGUCCGGAUUUAUUGGGCGUAAAGGGCUCGUAGGUGGUUGAUCGCGUCGGAAGUGUAAUCUUGGGGCUUAACCCUGAGCGUGCUUUCGAUACGGGUUGACUUGAGGAAGGUAGGGGAGAAUGGAAUUCCUGGUGGAGCGGUGGAAUGCGCAGAUAUCAGGAGGAACACCAGUGGCGAAGGCGGUUCUCUGGGCCUUUCCUGACGCUGAGGAGCGAAAGCGUGGGGAGCGAACAGGCUUAGAUACCCUGGUAGUCCACGCUGUAAACGGUGGGUACUAGGCGUGGGGUCCAUUCCACGGGUUCCGUGCCGUAGCUAACGCUUUAAGUACCCCGCCUGGGGAGUACGGCCGCAAGGCUAAAACUCAAAGGAAUUGACGGGGCCCCGCACAAGCGGCGGAGCAUGCGGAUUAAUUCGAUGCAACGCGUAGAACCUUACCUGGGUUUGACAUGGAUCGGGAGUGCUCAGAGAUGGGUGUGCCUCUUUUGGGGUCGGUUCACAGGUGGUGCAUGGCUGUCGUCAGCUCGUGUCGUGAGAUGUUGGGUUAAGUCCCGCAACGAGCGCAACCCUUGUUCACUGUUGCCAGCACGUUAUGGUGGGGACUCAGUGGAGACCGCCGGGGUCAACUCGGAGGAAGGUGGGGAUGACGUCAAGUCAUCAUGCCCCUUAUGUCCAGGGCUUCACGCAUGCUACAAUGGCUGGUACAGAGAGUGGCGAGCCUGUGAGGGUGAGCGAAUCUCGGAAAGCCGGUCUCAGUUCGGAUUGGGGUCUGCAACUCGACCUCAUGAAGUCGGAGUCGCUAGUAAUCGCAGAUCAGCAACGCUGCGGUGAAUACGUUCCCGGG
rnacentral:rRNA from 1 species